rnacentral:rRNA from 1 species
UACGUAGGGUGCAAGCGUUGUCCGGAAUUAUUGGGCGUAAAGAGCUCGUAGGCGGUUUGUCGCGUCUGCUGUGAAAACCCGAGGCUCAACCUCGGGCCUGCAGUGGGUACGGGCAAACUAGAGUGCGGUAGGGGAGAAUGGAAUUCCUGGUGUAGCGGUGGAAUGCGCAGAUAUCAGGAGGAACACCGAUGGCGAAGGCAGUUCUCUGGGCCGUAGCUGACGCUGAGGCGCGACAGCGUGGGGAGCAAACAGG